rnacentral:sRNA from 1 species
GCAGUUGUUGAUCAUGAUCUAAACAUUUGUACUUUGUUAUAGUCUUGAUACAAUU